rnacentral:rRNA from 1 species
UACAGAGGGUGCAAGCGUUAAUCGGAAUUACUGGGCGUAAAGCGCGCGUAGGUGGUUUGUUAAGUUGAAUGUGAAAUCCCCGGGCUCAACCUGGGAACUGCAUGCAAAACUGGCAAGCUAGAGUAUGGUAGAGGGUGGUGGAAUUUCCUGUGUAGCGGUGAAAUGCGUAGAUAUAGGAAGGAACACCAGUGGCGAAGGCGACCGAGCCUGGACUGAUACUGACACUGAGGUGCGAAAGCGUGGGGAGCAAACAGG